rnacentral:rRNA from 1 species
AGUGAACGCUGGCGGCAUGCUUUACACAUGCAAGUCGAACGGCAGCGGGGAGGAGCUUGCUUCUCUGCCGGCGAGUGGCGAACGGGUGAGUAAUACAUCGGAACGUGUCGAGAAGAGGGGGAUAACCACCCGAAAGGGUGGCUAAUACCGCAUAAAUUCUGAGGAAGAAAGCUGGGGACCUAGGAAUAGGCCUAGCGCUUUUUGAGCGGCCGAUGUCGGAUUAGCUAGUUGGUGAGGUAAAGGCUCACCAAGGCGAAGAUCUGUAGCGGGUCUGAGAGGAUGAUCCGCCACACUGGGACUGAGACACGGCCCAGACUCCUACGGGAGGCAGCAGUGGGGAAUUUUGGACAAUGGGGGCAACCCUGAUCCAGCCAUGCCGCGUGUAUGAAGAAGGCCUUAGGGUUGUAAAGUACUUUUGUUAGGGAAGAAAAGUCAGCUGUGAAUAAUGGCUGAUACUGACGGUACCUAAAGAAUAAGCACCGGCUAACUACGUG